rnacentral:lncRNA from 1 species
AAGUGCACCCUCCUCAGAUGGGGAUGGGGAGUGGCCUUCACUAGGGUGGUCCUCCUGGCUGAGCAGGGCCGGCCCAGGGGAGGGCGGGGCCAGCACGUCCCCAGAACAGUGCCUGUCCAGGGGCACAAGGGUUCACUGAAGACUCAGGAGAGGGGUUUAGAGCACAGCCUCCCUCUCCAGGGUCAGGUUCACGGGAGCUGUUGGGGGCUCCUUCCCUCGCAGCAGUGACCACUCCAAGGACCACGGCCUGGACAUGAGCGGCAGCGGAGUCUAGAUGAAUAUAGGCAGCAGCCAAAGGCCACAGUCACGACAAACCUACACACUCUCACCACUGUCAUCUCAUAUUGUCCUAAAAUUUCCAGCCAGUGCAAAAAAACAUGAAAAAGAAAAAAUACAGCCAUUGGAAAAGAGGAAAAGUAAUUGUUAUUAGCUGAUGAUGUGAAUGUCUUCCUGAAAACCUUAAGAGAACCAACUGGAAAACAACCAGAAAUGAGAGCAUGGAGUUAGGCAACCGCCGAUCUGCUUUCUGUCACUUGGGCGAGUUUUUCCCGUCCUGGGAUUUCAUAUCUCUGGAAUCCUGCAGUACGUAGCCCUCUGUCUGGCUUCCUCGCUCCGUGUAAUGUUCUUGAGAUUCAUCCAUGCAGCUGUGUAUACCUGCAGUGAUUGUUUCUCUUGUUGAAUUGCUGAGAAGGGUUCCAUCGUAUGCCUUUUCCAGUUUAUUUGUUCAUCUGUUGUUAGACAUUUGAGUUAUUUCCAGCUUGGGACUCUUAUGAACAAAACUGCUAUAAACAUGCAUAUUCAAGUCUUUGUGGAUAUGUGCUUUCUUUUGUCCUGGAUAAAUGUCUCCACGUGGGCUUCCUGGGUCUCACGUUACCUCCUCUGCUGAAGGCUUGAACCCUUCAAAGUCAUCCGUGAGGGCUGGAAUCAACUUCUUCCAAACUCCCGUUAAUGUGAUAUUUUGACUUCUUCUCGUGAAUCAUUAUUGUUCUUAAUGGGAUCUAGAAAGGUGAAACCUUUCCAGAG